GUGAGAUCCAUGAAAACAACAUAUGAAAGUAAUAACAUUAUCAUCAUCAUGAAAUCAUAUAGACUUUAUAACAUAACACUUACCACGCAUUUGCAUUUCAAUCAUUAAACAACAUAUUUUCCUUUUUUACCAGCCUACUAGUAUCCAUGGGGAUCCAUAGGGGGUCCCCGCUACCCGUGAACCAUUAACAUUAAUAACCUGAUUCCAGG
rnacentral:lncRNA from 1 species